rnacentral:tRNA from 1 species
GCCCGAGUAGCUCAGUGGCAGAGCAACGCACUCGUAAUGCGUAGGUCGAGGGUUCAACUCCCUCCUCGGGCUCCA